GCAGCCAGCUGGACGGCCGCUUGUCCAAAAGACAAGAGGAAAGUCCGGGCAGCAUAGGACACGACAGUCGCUAACGGCGACCGGGGGUAACCCUAGGGAAAGUGCCACAGAAACAAUACCGCCUCGCUACAAAAAGGUGUUAUCAGGUGAAAGCUCGGUAAUUACCAAGAGGUAAGGGUGAAAUGAGUGGGGUAAGAGCCCACAGCGUCAUAUGGUGACAUAUGGAGAAGGUAAACCCUGUCGGCUGCAAGGAGAUCAACACAAAAGAGUAGUCCGCUCGUUGGUCGAUACCCGCUUGAAUACGCUAGUAAUGGUGUAUCUAGAUAGAUGGUCGUCCUCGACAAAACCCGGCUUACAGGUUGGCUGCCAAU
rnacentral:RNase_P_RNA from 3 species